ACUGGAUGAUGAUAUUUCCACUUCAUUGGUCCGUGUUUCUGAAACACAUGAUUUUAGUGGAAGUUCUGACAGU